AAGGCAACAUGGGUAGCGGGUGUGAGAGCAUGACCCGCGUCAUUGGGACUGAGACACUGCCCACACAUCUACGGAUGGCUGCAGUCGAGAAUCUUCGGCUUAGGGCGAAGGCCUGACCGAGCGACGCCGCGUGCGGGAUGAAGGCCCUCGGGUUGUAAACCGCUGUCAAUGGGGAGGAAGUGCAUUGGGGUUAUCCCCUUUGCUUCACCCAUCCAACAAGCCA
rnacentral:rRNA from 1 species